AAACUUUUAACAACGGAUCUCUUGGUUCUGGCAUCGAUGAAGAACGCAGCGAAAUGCGAUAAGUAAUGUGAAUUGCAGAAUUCAGUGAAUCAUCCAAUCUUUGAACGCACAUUGCGCCCGGCAGCAAUCUGCCGGGCAUGCCUGUCCGAGCGUCAUUU
rnacentral:rRNA from 1 species